CUACAUUGUCAGGCAAAACCUAGGGUCCGCCCCGCCCAAUAUGAUUGGCUGACGAAAAGGAACGACACGCUCUCUGGCCACGCCCCAUAUGGGCAUGGAUUUAUACCAACAUUCCAUGUCAAUCACACAGACAGAUGUUUCCAAUCAGCAGCUGGACUGGUGUGUUUAACCAUUUAAGGACGGAGCCAAAUGUACACAUUGUGAACGAAACAAAAUGUAAACAAAACCUGGCAUUUGCGCUACAUGUCUGUCCAACCGUAAUACACCUCUUUCAUAGUAAAU